CAGGGGUGAAGAAGAGAGAAGAGAGGACAAGUGGUUCUGGAGGACUUCCUGGAGGAGGCGGGGUAGAGAUUUGCAAAGUCAACAAAGGAGGAAGCUUUCAAGAACACUGCUCUCUGAGCAAUUUCCAGCUGGUGGCUUCUAAAGAGAACAUGACACCGCCCGCAUCUGCCUGCCCAGACGCCUGAGUUAUCACCGGCGGAAUAAGCCAGAUCCAAGCUCUUGCUACCAAAGACCCUCCCAGUGGCCCAUGCCCUCCUCUCAGCUGACAAGCUUAAUCCCCCAUGAAGCUCUGCCUUCCAGGACGUUUGGACGUCUCUGAGCUGAGUCUCUUCCUGGGACCACUCUGACCUCAUGAUUCUCUUCUUUGGUAAGCCAGCUGUCAGCCCACACCUGGACCGCACUGCAUAAUCAUCUUCACCUGGCCAUAGCGUCUAACAGAUCACAACAGCUCACACAGCCAGUCUGUAACCAAGCCUGUCCUCCUUAACUAACUUCAGCAAAAUCCUUUCUCAUGCGAAACAGUGAAACCAGCCUACUUUGUUGCAACAUGUUUUCAUCUGAGAUAUGGUGUCAAUUGUCAUUAGGUGGAAACGGGCAUCUUGGGAAGUCCAAAAAGGAAGAACACGGGCAGUUUCAAAUGACACCACUGAUACAUAUGCGAAAUGCACCAACAUAGACGUGAACAUAGGAUUUUAAGUGUUCUUCAGAUAAAGCACGCUAGCUAAACUAUGUUGUUUUCAGAUACCAUGUCUGAUGGUCCCUUUUCCAGGCCAGACCACCGGACUGGGGUGUCAAGUCUCGUGUGGCAGCGGGGGAGCUUCCUGUUUCCGACGACAUGGAGAAAGUUUCUGUGUCUCUCUCUUCACCUCUCUUCUGAUCUCAGGAGGAGACACACUUUCCCCAAAGUGAGAUGUCCAUAGAGCCAGUCGAAGUCCAUGGAGAGAGGGGGUGUGUCCGCACCAGCUCCUCCAUUUCAGUUCUUGCGGGGAGGGGCUCCAAACCCUACGCCAGAGGACAAUGAUUGACCAUAAAAUGUGAAGCGCCUGCUCUGAGCCCCCUAGAGCUGCCGGGACAGGCAGCAGAGGGGAGCCAGCGGGACCUGCGUUCGUGCUUUCUUUCCCUUUUAAUGACUUCCUCUGCAGACAAAGCCCCACCGGGAUAGAACUUACCCAGUUCAGAAUGUCCCAGGACACUUUAUCAGGCUGCCCUUGUUCUCAAAGGCUGCUGUGCUCUGCGGGUGACCUCUUGGGCCUCCCCCCACGCCUCCUAGCUCCUCCAAGGCGAGGACAGAGUCUCCCGACCCCACAGUGCUGGUGGCCAGGGUCCGAGCUAGAUCUUGGACCCCUUGACAUCCGGGGCUGCCCCCGUGGCAGGCUGCACAGCACGUGGUCCCAGGGCGCACAGGUGUUCCCCGGGUCCCUCAAGAUGUCUGAGCUCGGGGUUAUAGCCUUGAGCACCAGAGAUCUGCGUUUUGCAUUAAUACACCUGAAACGUUCGUUCCCGAUUUACCUUUCAAAUUGUGCCUGUAGCCGAGUCCUGUGGGAGGGUCCCUGGUGCAGACACGGCCCAACAAGACAAGGCUCCUCGGGGGCCUCGGGGCCAGUGUUUCCCCCCAGGGCGGAUGAGGGCCUCUGUGGCCUUUGGGCAAUGGAGGCAAUGCCCCAAAGGGAGCUGGAUCCUUCCACCCUCUCGUUUCUCUGUGCCGGUCACAUCCAAGAAAACAUCUUGUUAGUGACAGCCCAUCUCCAGCACCUGUCUGACACCCACCAGUGUCCCCUCACAAACAAGGAAAGAGCAGGUCUAAGGCUCAGGGGCCCUUCGCAGGCAGCAGUAUUCGGCUAAAAUCAAAUACCACUUUCUCUUUUAUCUAUUUUUUAUGGUAACCUCUCUAUGGUAAUGACACAGAUUUACCUUUUUAAAACUAAACUCACUCUUUUAGUAAAAUACAUAAAUUGUUCAGAGGGAAAAAAAGUGUAAAUAAUGGCUUCAAGGAAUAAAAUCCAAAAUGAAGUUUGGAAACACCAAGUCUGAUCCUGCUUCUGACAUUUGAAAUGCUUUCACAGUAUCAGCAUCAGAAGAUCGGCUAGUUCUGCUCACACACCUCCCGUGAUGGGGAGCUCACUACCUACAAAAGGCAUCUCCAUUCGGCUCUCCUGGGAAAUGCUGCUCCCAGCAAUUUCCACACUGAGCCCAGGUCUGCAGGGCAGCUCAAUUCCCUGUCCUCAUGGGGAAAUCUUCGUGGAGCGGGCACCUGUCCACUCCCAGCAGCCUCCUCUGCCAGGCAGAACAGCCGACUCCCCAGCAGUUCCUCAUCCUCUUGGAGGGAACUUCUCCAUCCAGGAACAACAGUUGCUGGUUUUUCACUCUUUUUUUUUUUUUUGCGGUACGCGGGCCUCUCACUGUCGUGGCCUCUCCCGUUGCGGAGCACAGGCUCCGGACGCGCAGGCUCAGCGGCCACGGCUCACGGGCCCAGCCGCUCCGCGGCAUGUGGGAUCCUCCCGGACCGGGGCGCGAACCCAGUUCCCCUGCAUCGGCAGGCGGACUCUCAACCACUGCGCC